rnacentral:rRNA from 1 species
GAUGAACGCUGGCGGCGUGCCUAAUACAUGCAAGUCGAGCGAACAGACGAGGAGCUUGCUCCUCUGACGUUAGCGGCGGACGGGUGAGUAACACGUGGAUAACCUACCUAUAAGACUGGGAUAACUUCGGGAAACCGGAGCUAAUACCGGAUAAUAUAUUGAACCGCAUGGUUCAAUAGUGAAAGACGGUUUUGCUGUCACUUAUAGAUGGAUCCGCGCCGCAUUAGCUAGUUGGUAAGGUAACGGCUUACCAAGGCGACGAUGCGUAGCCGACCUGAGAGGGUGAUCGGCCACACUGGAACUGAGACACGGUCCAGACUCCUACGGGAGGCAGCAGUAGGGAAUCUUCCGCAAAGGGCGAAAGCCUGACGGAGCAACGCCGCGUGAGUGAUGAAAGUCUUCGGAUCGUAAAACUCUGUUAUUAGGGAAGAACAAAUGUGUAAGUAACUAUGCACGUCUUGACGGUACCUAAUCAGAAAGCCACGGCUAACUACGUG